rnacentral:rRNA from 1 species
CCUACGGGAGGCAGCAGUAGGGAAUCUUACACAAUGGGCGAAAGCCUGAUGGAGCAACGCCGCGUGGGUGAAGAAGGUCUUCGGAUCGUAAAACCCUGUUGUUAGAGAAGAAAGUGCGUGAGAGUAACUGUUCACGUUUCGACGGUAUCUAACCAGAAAGCCACGGCUAACUACGUGCCAGCAGCCGCGGUAAUACGUAGGUGGCAAGCGUUAUCCGGAUUUAUUGGGCGUAAAGGGAACGCAGGCGGUCUUUUAAGGCUGAUGUGAAAGCCUUCGGCCUAACCGGAGUAGUGCAUUGGAAACUGGGAGACUGGAGUGCAGCAGAGGAGAGUGGAACUCCAUGUGUAGCGGUGAAAUGCGUAGAUAUAUGGAAGAACACCAGUGGCGAAAGCGGCUCUCUGGUCUGUAACUGACGCUGAGGUUCGAAAGCGUGGGUAGCAAACAGGAUUAGAUACCCUAGUAGUC